CCUACACGACCGUACCGCAAACCGACACUGGUGCGCGAGAUGAGUAUUCUAAGGCGCUUGAGAGAACUCAGGAGAAGGAACUCGGCAAAUUGACACCGUAACUUCGGAAGAAGGUGUGCCUUUAGUAGGUGAAGUCCCUCGCGGAUGGAGCCCAAUGAGGUUGCAAAAAAUCGGUGGCUGCGACUGUUUAUUAAAAACACAGCACUCUGCAAACACGAAAGUGGACGUAUAGGGUGUGACGCCUGCCCGGUGCUGGAAGAUUAAAUGAUGGGGUGCAAGCUCUUGAUUGAAGUCCCAGUAAACGGCGGCCGUAACAAUAACGGUCCUAAGGUAGCGAAAUUCCUUGUCGGGUAAGUUCCGACCUGCACGAAUGGCGUAACGAUGGCCACACUGUCUCCUCCUGAGACUCAGCGAAGUUGAAAUGUUUGUGAUGAUGCAAUCUCCCCGCGGAAAGACGGAAAGACCCCAUGAACCUUUACUGUAGCUUUGUAUUGGACUUUGAACAGAUCUGUGUAGGAUAGGUGGGAGGCUUUGAAGCAGGGUCGCUAGAUCUUGUGGAGCCAACGUUGAAAUACCACCCUGGUGUGUUUGAGGUUCUAACCUAGGCCCGUAAUCCGGGUUGGGGACAGUGCAUGGUAGGCAGUUUGACUGGGGCGGUCUCCUCCCAAAGUGUAACGGAGGAGUUCGAAGGUACGCUAGUUACGGUCGGACAUCGUGACGAUAGUGCAAUGGCAUAAGCGUGCUUAACUGCGAGACUGACAAGUCGAGCAGAUGCGAAAGCAGGACAUAGUGAUCCGGUGGUUCUGUAUGGAAGGGCCAUCGCUCAACGGAUAAAAGGUACUCUGGGGAUAACAGGCUGAUACCGCCCAAGAGUUCAUAUCGACGGCGGUGUUUGGCACCUCGAUGUCGGCUCAUCUCAUCCUGGGGCUGUAGCCGGUCCCAAGGGUAUGGCUGUUCGCCAUUUAAAGAGGUACGUGAGCUGGGUUUAAAACGUCGUGAGACAGUUUGGUCCCUAUCUUCCGUGGGCGCUGCAGAUUUGAGGAAGCCUGCUCCUAGUACGAGAGGACCGGAGUGGACGCACCUCUGGUGUAUCGGUUGUCACGCCAGUGGCAUUGCCGAGUAGCUAUGUGCGGAAGAGAUAACCGCUGAAAGCAUCUAAGCGGGAAACUCGUUUCAAGAUGAGAUCUGCCGGGGCCUUGAGCCCCCUGAAGAGUCGUUCAAGACCAGGACGUUGAUAGGUCGGGUGUGGAAGCGCAGUAAUGCGUUAAGCUAACCGAUACUAAUUGCUUGUGCGGCUUGACCCU
rnacentral:rRNA from 1 species